UGGGGAAUAUUGGACAAUGGGCGCAAGCCUGAUCCAGCAAUGCCGCGUGUGUGAAGAAGGCCUGCGGGUUGUAAAGCACUUUAAGCAGGGAGGAAGGCUCUAAGGCGAAUACCCUUGGAGAUUGACGUUACCUGCAGAAUAAGCACCGGCUAACUCCGUGCCAGCAGCCGCGGUAAUACGGAGGGUGCGAGCGUUAAUCGGAAUUACUGGGCGUAAAGCGCGCGUAGGCGGUUGACUAAGUUUGCUGUGAAAGCCCCGGGCUUAACCUGGGAACUGCAGUGAAUACUGGUGAGCUAGAGUAUGGUAGAGGGUAGUGGAAUUUCCGGUGUAGCAGUGAAAUGCGUAGAGAUCGGAAGGAACACCAGUGGCGAAGGCGGCUAUCUGGACCAAUACUGACGCUGAGGUGCGAAAGCGUGGGGAGCAAACAGG
rnacentral:rRNA from 1 species